GAUGAACGCUAGCGGGAGGCUUAAUACAUGCAAGUCGAGGGGCAGCAGUUCGGCUGGCGACCGGCGCACGGGUGAGUAACGCGUACAAAUCUACCUUUAGGAGAGGGACAGCCCUGGGAAACUGGGAUUAAUACCUCAUAGUCUCGUAAGAGUAAAUGCUUCGGCGCCUAAAGAUGAGUGUGCGUCCUAUUAGCUAGUUGGUACGGUAAUGGCGUACCAAGGCUACGAUAGGUAGGGGGCGUGAGAGCGUGAUCCCCCACACGGGUACUGAGACACGGACCCGACUCCUACGGGAGGCAGCAGUAAGGAAUAUUGGACAAUGGGCGCAAGCCUGAUCCAGCCAUCCCGCGUGCAGGAUGACGGCUCUAUGGGUUGUAAACUGCUUUUGCAAGAGAAGAAUAGCGAGUAUUUAUAUUCGUGUGACGGUAUCUUGAGAAUAAGCACCGGCUAACUCCG
rnacentral:rRNA from 1 species